UACGUAGGGUGCAAGCGUUGUCCGGAAUUAUUGGGCGUAAAGAGCUCGUAGGCGGUUUGUCGCGUCUGCUGUGAAAAUCCAGGGCUUAACCCUGGACCUGCAGUGGGUACGGGCAGACUAGAGUGCGGUAGGGGAGAUCGGAAUUCCUGGUGUAGCGGUGAAAUGCGCAGAUAUCAGGAGGAACACCGGUGGCGAAGGCGGGUCUCUGGGCCGAUACUGACGCUGAGGCACGAAAGCGUGGGGAGCAAACAGG
rnacentral:rRNA from 1 species